UUGGAGUUGUAGUGGAUGCCUCAUAUUAUGUAAAGUUUUCUGAAGCUGGUGUUCAAGCCACCACUUCGACAGCUGAAGCUUCAGUAAAUACCACUUCAUUGCUAAAGGAUGCUGAAACUCAAACUGACAUCACAGGCAGUGUUCUGAAGAGUUUUGAAGCUGAUAACCAGGUCCUACGCACAGAGUUACAGGAGAUGAAGGGCUCUCUGGACACACUU